GUAUUUACAUGGACACAUCUGUUCCGCAUAGAUUUCUAUCCGGAACAGAAAAUGAUCAUGUAUACGCCUCAUUCGGAAUACUGUUCGGCAUAGAUUCCAUGCCGAAUAGAAGAGGUGGUGUAGUCCGUUUUAAUCGCCAUGUAUACACAUUCCAAAUAGAUUGGGUUGCAGCCGCGGGAGUUCGCAAUUGGUCCACUGAGCUCCGUCGGUACGUUUAAGCACACCGAACUUGACCACCGUCAAGGAAAGUGGAUUUAUUGCCUAAUUCACGUCUUUGUUACCACGCCGUAAAAGUAGUCCGGGAAGCGUGUCCUGUUGCUAAGCGACGGGACAUGGGUGUUUAUUAAUGGGUUAGUGUCCGCAAAGUGUCCGCACGCGUCCGGGAUAACUGUAAAUUAGUAUGCUACUAGUACUUUUGCAGGCUGAACGUUAAAAUACUUCUUAACUUAGAGACCACUCUCUCCCACCAGUCUUGGCUGCGGACUCGCAUCCAAAUUCCUCUUGUUUGCGGCGGAGCUGGGGGUAAACAUUAAGAUCUGACGAGAAAUUGACGUAGCUGCGAUGUCCUCCUCCUUAAUUUAAGGAGCAGGCAGAGAAAAGCUCUCUCUGUGCUUUCAUUAAAAUUAAAUUUAAAAUCCCCGAUAGUGAUAAGAAAUCCAUUAUGUCGCCGCCGGUACAGAGAUGUGUCAGGUGUGCGCGAGAGACAUAACGGACACUUUUGUUACUGCCAUGUAUACAGUACAUUCGGAUCACAUUUUAGGAACAGAUCUAUGCCGCAUAGAAAUCUAUGCGGAUCAGAUGUGCCAUGUAAACCCGGCUACUAUGAAUUUCAUUCAUAUAUACAAUUUCAGAAGUGGAUGAGAUUCGAGAAAUAUCUUGUGUGGCAACCCGCUCCUCGAAUGAGCCGGGUUCCACGGAUAAAUGACGCUUGGCAGUGAGGGUUUAGCCGAUCACGGCAUUUAUUACAGACAACUUAAACCAUAUGAGGUACUCGCGGCCUCUAGGGCCUCCGUGGGCCUCUAGGGUAGGGCUGGCUCGGCCCGUGCUGUCUCGUCACUUGUCGGCCUUUCCGUCUGCUCCCGAGAGCCUUUUGAAGCGUCUCCCUGGCUGUCCAGCCAGGUGUCACUCAUCCCGCUGAUUGGGGUUCGGCAGGUGCUCUCCGUCACCGGCUGGUGGGUGACGGUGGUAUCGGCCAUCCCGGACCAACCCUCGGGCUGGUCUGGGCCGAGGUUUAAGUGGCGGGAUGCCACACUUGUUAUAAUGAGAAAGGAUGUCAAGGUUUGGGGGUUGAGGAACUAUUUUGAUCCUUUGUGGUAUGGCAACCCAGUCGCCAAAAGCAUACGUGGACAGCCUCACCUUUUUAAGGACAAUAAGUUAUGAGAGAAAUGCACAUUAACUUUUUGUUAUCUCAUAAGCGGUGUGGUGCCAGCUCCUUUUGACCUUUUGUCCCCAGACUACAAAAACGUGUCAACAGGCCAGCUGUGUCUACCCACCUUAAGCCACAAGUGUACACCUACAUCCCACAGAAAAUGGGGACUAGAAACAUAACCUCUGUCAUAUACAUUUACUCUACUGUUGAAGGUCACGCCCCUUUUCCCACCUUUUCGAGAUAGCUAGAGAUGCCAAAAUUUCCCGGGGUCCCGAGAAUGACACAUCAGAGAUUUGGAUUUCUAGCCCUUAGAGAAAAAAAGUUUGACAGCAUAGAAGACAUGAUCUACAAUCAGGAAUGCCAGAAACUCUGACAGAGCUACACAAUACAAUUCGUCAACAAUUUGAAAUUCAAAAAGACUUCCGUAUUCAGUUCAUGGAUCCUGACUUCAAUAAUGAAUUCAUGAAUGUUACGUCAGUACAAGACAUACAGGACAGAAGUACAAUGAAGUUGGUGUACAACAAUGUAGGAGUGAGUCCAUCUUCUCCACUGCAGAAUGCUUGCAGCCCUUCCUUGUCAUCUGGGUCACCAGUAAGCAGCAAAAAUACGGCCAGUCUUUCCCCAUUGCCAUCAGCGUCCCCAUUGCCAACAGAUUCUGAUAACACCAUCAUCCUGUCCCAUUCAGAUAGCGAACUGAGGGCACGUGCAUGGCCACGGGAAUUCUCAAUUCUGCGUUUUCCAUAUGAUGUAGAGCUUCAGCUUCAACGUGGAAAUGAGAGCUUUAGGGAAACUGGCUCUCUUAAAGAUCACACCAGGGCUGAAGUCAGACAUCUUGGAAAAGUUAGCAGAGGAAAUCUUCCAGUACACUGCAUAUCCACAGAACUACGAUAUGGUUGAUGUAGCAGGGGCAUUCAUCAAAAAAUAUCCCUGUUUAAAAGAACAAUCUGCCAGUGGAUACUAUGGCUGGAUGAUUAGCCUGAAAUAUAAAAUGGCAAAUUACAGAACAAAAAUGUGCAACAUUGGUUGUCCAGAAGUUUCCAUAAAUGCAUUGAAAAACUAAACGGUGGAUGACUGCCGCCCAGCCAAAAAUGUGAAGAAACCCAAAAAGGCGGAAGUAAACUAUUUUCCUUCAAACCCUGCCGGAGAAACUGAUGAAAGCCUAGAACAUUUAAGGGUUGAACUGUUAAACGAAGCAAGAAGACGAAGAGACAAUGCACCAUCUGUAUAAGAGAAGAUGUCGAGAACCUUUUCCUAUAGCAGGAUAGAGGUGGUGCAGGGAAAUCUAGGCGCCGGAGAGAUUAAAGCCAGGUGGCCUGCACUCUUCCGUACUGAUGAGGUAAGAACGGGCUUGUUGUUUUUUAACACAGUGUAAUUCUUAAUAUCACAUUUUGGUGCAUGACUGCUGAAACUCCAAUAGUUACAAAGUAGACUAUGGGACUUUUUAAAAUAAAUGAAUUCCCGUUAGUAUUUUAUCACUUACUUGUAUACCUAUGGCUGGUCCAAACUGUACUACGCUAUCGGACACGUUUUUGUUUUGUGAAUGUAAAGGUCCAAAUUUGAAUGUGACCUUUAAUACAGUUGCUAUAAAAUAAAAUUACGUCAAUGACUGAACACGGUGUCUUUUGCCCUUUUUUUCCUAUUUUCUUUGUAUAGAUACAUGCUGAAUUCCAGCGCAUAACAACAAUCCCUCUUGAAACUACCUUCAUGGCGCAGUUGGACAGCCAUUUACCCCAACUGACUUCCGUUUUACAGAAGAAGGGAGGCGUUUCUGGCCAAAAACUAGCCUAACACCUGGUGAUCUUGCAAGAGGACAUCCAAGGAGACGAUAUCCAGAGAGAGAUGAGCAAACACUCCAUUGGGCAUCUUCAUCAGCAUGGAGGGUGAAGAAAUUGGACACGUUUGCAUUUCUGUGGAAGGAGUCGUCGUUCUUGACAACAUUGAAUCCCUAGCCAGAGCUUGUGCAUUGAUGCUGGGGGUCAUCUAUGCCCUGAACUUGGCUUACCCCAAGGAAUUGAGAGUAGAAUUUUUCCAAGCUGCUUUUGUGAACCCCUGGAUUUAGAUUUUUGAUUGAUUUUUGAUUUUGUCGGCUUAUCGCAAUUUUACAGCCUAAAGGACACAGUUAUCCAGACUGAUGUCCUCCUGACUGUUCUUGUCCUCCUGAGUUUUCUGUUUAAAGGUGACAUAUUAUGCCACCAGGUGUGAGUGUGUUUAGCCGUUACAAGCCGUCUUCUGACAUCACAAGUGGGCGUGUAUCCAGCACACCUCUAGGUGGACACGGCCACUUGUAAUGUCAGAAGAGGCCGAUUUUCAAAACGGCUUGUGACGGCUAAACACACUCACACCUGGUGGCAUAAUAUGUCCCUUGAGCUGCAUUGUUUGAGCUCAUGUGUUUGGGGCAAAAGAGUUAACGUCAACUGAAGAAGAACUUCGGUACUGCUCUUUCAGUUUUUGAGCAUUGACUAUCUUCCAGCUGUGGGUGGUCUGGUACAAUUGUUAAAUUUGUUUCAUAAGGGUUUUGAUAGGAAGAAAGGUUCUCGAUUCCUCACUUUGACGAAAUCUCCACUUUGGUUAAGGUUAUCGGCGGAUCCCAAUUCUACAGCCUAAAGGACACAAUUAUCCAGACUGAUGUCCUGGCUGUUUAUUUAUUUUUCUGAGUUUUCUGUUUAAAGCUGACAUAUUAUGCCACCAGGUGUGAGUGUGAUUAGCCAUUACAAGCCGUUUGAAAAUCUGCCUCUUCUUACAUCACUAGUGGGAGUAUCCACCUAGAGGUGUGCUGGAGCAACGUCUUCUACAGUCCACUGGGUAGCUGGUAGACUGAUCUAUCCAGCACACCUCUAGGUGGACACGGCCACUUGUGAUGUCAGAAGAGGCAGAUUUUCACAACGGCUUGUAACGGCUAAACACACUCACACCUGGUCGCAUAAUAUGUCUCUUAAGCUGCAUUAUUUAAACUUGUGUGUUUGAGGCAAAGGAGAUCAUUUAUUUGCACGUUUUCAAUACUUGACAAAAUAAGUGUUGAAAAUAUUUUGUUUGCUUUGUCUGAUUAUUAAAUGUAUUUGGUCCAACUAAAAUAGCUUAAAAUGUUUAAUUUAAUUGAACGUAAUUUUAUGAUGUAGAAAUAAAACUAUUUAGUUUAUCUGUAUUAACAUAAUUCAG
ensembl:lncRNA